AAACAAAAAAAACAACUUGCCAACUGAAUCCAGCAGCACACCAAAAAGCUUUUUUAAAUUAAGGUAUAUGCACUUUUUAUAUAUAUCUAAAAUGCAUAUAUGUAUAUAAAUGUUCCAGGCUUACCUGGAAUCAAAAUUUAUCAUGUCCCUAAAUGUGUCUGAUGCCAAAGCCUUGAAAGUAAUACUUCUAUCACAUCCUCCUCACUGAUUUGGCCCACCAUGAUCCUAAUGCAAACCAUCAUCAUGUCUUUUCUAAUCCACUGCAAUAGCCUGUUAAAUGAUGUUCCCAUUUUUCUUUCGCUCUAAGAUUGGUAAUAAAGAAGAAUGUCUACUUACAACUUCUAUUCAAAUGGAUAUUCUACCACUUCUAGGCCUUUUGGCUAAAAUCAAGUGGAAAUGGAGGUUCUAGACAUUGCAAUAAUGCAAAGAAAAAAUAUGACAAAAGCUAUAAAGAUUUAAAAGAAAGAAGAAAGAUUGUUUCUAUUUGCAGAUGGUAUGAUCGUUUUUGUAGAAAAUCCUUAAAAAAUAUACAAAACAACUUCAUAAAUAAGUGAAUUUAAUUAGUUUAUAG
rnacentral:lncRNA from 1 species